UGGAGAGGUCAUCUGACUGGCUGUUCAGCUUGGGCUGCACACACACUCUCUCCUGUACCAGGCCACACAGGAGCUGGUGCCCAUACACGGUACGCCACCAGGCUCUGAGGACACCCACUUCGCCCCCAGCGCCUCCGGGCACCCAUGUACCCACAAGAACACAUACUCAUGUCAGCUCAGAGAUUGCACCUGCUGACCUAAAGAUCCCAGCUGGAGACUCCGAGGGUGAAAGGCGCACAGUGGUGGAAGCUCUGUGGGCAGGGCGUGGGGCUUACUUGGAGGCUGGGGCUGAAGGGCAUCCAGUCGCACCAUGUCUGUGACCAGCAGGAAGAUGGGACUAUCCCUGGCUCAGGAGAUCCUCAGCCACCUGGGCCUUGCCAACAAGGAAACUGAGACAAUUACCAAGUUCUGAUGCGUAUCCUUAUUUCUCGAAGUGAGACUGAUCUUCUAAGUAUCCGAGCUGAGUUCAAAAGAAAUUUGGGAAGUCCCUCUACUCUUCCCUCCAGAAUGCAGUGAAAGGGAACUGCCGGUCAGCCCUACUAGCCCUGUGCAGGGCUGAAGACCUCUGAGACCUCAUCCCCAUAUGACCUUCAAGAAUCUGAGAUUCCCAUGUAUGGGUGAGCCUGCAGGAGACCAGCUGGGCCUCCAAAUAAAAUAACCCCUCACUUGAGCACCACGUUCCAGCUUCUUGUGGAGUCUGGAACGCCAAGUUCCUCUUAAAUCCCUUAAUUUCCCUCAUUUCAAAGUGAUAUCUGCACCUGGGUCCCCUAGCUCUGUCUUGGGUAUGCGAUAAUGGGAUCUCUUUGAUAGUUUCUGCUCUACUCAUUCUUUCCGUAUUCUGGCCAGCACAUCUCACUGAUAUUUGAAUUCUUUUGGCAAACUUCACUGUCAUUUGUGUUCCCUGAUUGAAGUUUGGGUGGAGCAGGACAUGGGCUGGGAGGAGGCCUUGAAGCUGGAGGUGCCUUUCAUGUUGGAUAUUCAACAGGAGUCCUGUUUGAGGCUCUAGACUGCAGUUGUCAACAACCCCCCCUCCCCUCGGUGUCUCCCCUCCCCCCCGUUAAUCUCUCUUCACCAGGAAAUUUCAGGAAAAAUAAUUG